rnacentral:rRNA from 1 species
GAGUUUGAUCAUGGCUCAGAUUGAACGCUGGCGGCAUGCCUUACACAUGCAAGUCGAACGGCAGCGCGGGAGCAAUCCUGGCGGCGAGUGGCGAACGGGUGAGUAAUACAUCGGAACGUGCCCAAUCGUGGGGGAUAACGCAACGAAAGCUGUGCUAAUACCGCAUACGAUCUACGGAUGAAAGCAGGGGAUCGCAAGACCUUGCGCGAWUGGAGCGGGCGAUGGCAGAUUAGGUAGUUGGUGAGGUAAAGGCUCACCAAGCCUUCGAUCUGUAGCUGGUCUGAGAGGACGACCAGCCACACUGGGACUGAGACACGGCCCAGACUCCUACGGGAGGCAGCAGUGGGGAAUUUUGGACAAUGGGCGAAAGCCUGAUCCAGCCAUGCCGCGUGCAGGAUGAAGGCCUUCGGGUUGUAAACUGCUUUUGUACGGAACGAAACGGUCUUCUCUAAUAAAGAGGGCUAAUGACGGUACCGUAAGAAUAAGCACCGGCUAACUACGUGCCAGCAGCCGCGGUAAUA